rnacentral:rRNA from 1 species
GACGAACGCUGGCGGCGUGCCUAAUACAUGCAAGUAGAACGCACAGUUUAUACCGUAGCUUGCUACACCAUAGACUGUGAGUUGCGAACGGGUGAGUAACGCGUAGGUAACCUGCCUGGUAGCGGGGGAUAACUAUUGGAAACGAUAGCUAAUACCGCAUAAUAUUAAUUAUUGCAUGAUAAUUAAUUGAAAGGUGCAAUUGCACCACUACCAGAUGGACCUGCGUUGUAUUAGCUAGUAGGUGAGGUAACGGCUCACCUAGGCGACGAUACAUAGCCGACCUGAGAGGGUGAUCGGCCACACUGGGACUGAGACACGGCCCAGACUCCUACGGGAGGCAGCAGUAGGGAAUCUUCGGCAAUGGACGAAAGUCUGACCGAGCAACGCCGCGGGAGUGAAGAAGGGUUUCGGAUCGUAAAGCUCUGUUGUAAGAGGAGAACGGGUGUGAGAGUGGAAAGUUCACACUGUGACGGUAGCUUACCAGAAAGGGACGGCUAACUACGUG